CGAAAGGAUGAUGCGUGGAGGGCUGAGGGAAAACCUAUUUUGCGAAAACCAGACGUUCAGCCAUUGCCUGUUGGCAAACAUGGAUGAGCUGAAUGAACUCUUAGCAGCUUUCCAAAAUCGAGCAACUGAGAGAGCACUGAAGCUGAGGAGGAAGCCUGC